rnacentral:rRNA from 1 species
AUUGAACGCUGGCGGCAUGCCUUACACAUGCAAGUCAAACGGCAGCACGGGAGCUUGCUCCUGUGGAUCAGUGGCGAACGGGUGAGUAACACGUGAGCAAUCUGCCCUGGACUCUGGGAUAAGCGUUGGAAACGACGUCUAAUACCGGAUACGAGGCGUGGGGGCAUCCCCAACGCCUGGAAAGAACUUCGGUCCAGGAUGAGCUCGCGGCCUAUCAGGUAGUUGGUGAGGUAACGGCUCACCAAGCCUACGACGGGUAGCCGGCCUGAGAGGGUGACCGGCCACACUGGGACUGAGACACGGCCCAGACUCCUACGGGAGGCAGCAGUGGGGAAUAUUGCACAAUGGGCGCAAGCCUGAUGCAGCAACGCCGCGUGAGGGACGACGGCCUUCGGGUUGUAAACCUCUUUUAGCAGGGAAGAAGCGAAAGUGACGGUACCUGCAGAAAAAGCACCGGCUAACUACGUGCCAGCAGCCGCCGUAACAC